CUAAAAUCUAUAAAAGGGGAGAGGGGAAGGCAGGUGCCUGGGUCCCUGCCCAGGGAAGAUGCUGUGGGUGAGACUGCUUCUCCUUUUUGCAAGCUCCUGGCCUCGUCUCGACUGUGUCGGGCUGCAGGAUGAAUGAGCUGUCCAAGGCUUCCUGGCGGCUGGGGGCAAAUCCAGGCGAGAGGCGACUUUGGGCUCCAGGAGGGCUGCCUCGGUGAAGCAGGCUCUGCGAGCAAGGAGAGGGUGGAUUGGAGCCCUCAGAACCACAUCCCUGGCUGUCCAGCUCUGAGCUUCAAGUUUCUGAGUGCUGGCAUGGAGAAAGGAGAAAUCCAAUGUAUUGAGAAGAGCAUCCCCAGGACAGCUGCCUUUGUGCAUGCGGGGGCAGGACGGGGGACACAACACCCUGUUCUUAUAGGGAAGGGGGUCACUGCCAUCCUGCUACCCACCAUGAAGGGUCUCCUUCCACCGAGCUCAUCCUGGUGCUGGGGAGGAGGAAUAUUGGAGCUCGCUGAGCCGGACACGGCUCCCUCCCUGCCUCGGCGGAGGCGCGGGGUCACUCCGUGGUGCUCCCAUCAGGGAGGAAGCCUUCCCGCGCCCCGGCAAACCCCUAGUGAAAGACAAUCAGGCUCGCUGUCACCGAGCUAAUUCCGACGGCAUAAAAGCAGUAAUGAAAUUCACGGCAGGAUUAGCCUCUCCAUCCAAUGGGCCGGCGCCACGGUGACAUAUCGUGCUUCUUGCCCGAAUGUAACACACCAUCUAAUUUACGUCGUGUAGCGAGCGGGAAUGAAAUGUUCAUAAAGAAUUGCUGAAUCUUGUCACCUUAACUGCGGCCCCGGGCUCUGAGGCAUCUGUCAGGGAGAGGAGAGCGGAGAAGGAGGCUCCUGCCUCGCCGAGCUGCGGCCGGGGCUUUGGGAAAGGGGCGACGGCUGCAUCAAUCUUCUGGGUCUGUGCGGUGGAGACGCAGCGCGUGGGGAUGGGAUUUGGGAUGGAGGCAGCCAGGCUGUUGGGACUGUCUCCCCUACAACCACCUGGGAAGGGAUCUGUGGGGUGGGAGUCAGCAUUUCUGGAGGUCCCAGUGCUUGCAGGAAGGUGCACGUUCCCAAUUUCCAUGCUGCACCCCACACACCCAUCACAACCCCGUGUGUGCACCCAUCUCGGGAGGUGUGAGUGUGUGUGAGCAUCCCUUCUGCUGUGGCUCAGCAGCCCUGUUCCCCCCCCAGCUCCCCUCCCCAAAUGUUUAUUUGCAGUUAAUUUUCAUGGAUCCUAAUGGCUCGCAUCCUGCUAGGGGGGAAUCACGCUUGCCUCUUCAGUCAGAAAGUUUGCAGAAAAAAAUAGCCCUUUCCUGUUGUGUUCGGAGUAAUAGCGUCUUGGUGUCCGGAGGGGAGUUGGCAAGGAAACAGGGAAGUUUAUUAAGAGUAAGAGAUUGAAUUCCACCGGGUUUAAUUGGAAGUGCUUGAGCAAGCAGGGGAGGCAGCCGGCCGGUCCAGCCCCAAAAAAGCAGUGCUCUCCUGGGGGGGCUGGUUGCUCCUGGGGCUUUGCCAUCCCCUUCUCUGCUGGGGAUGCUGCGAGCUCUGGCUGGGUUGCUUCCUCGGGGUGCCCUGAGCACCCCAGCCUCAUCUUCCUCCUCCAUCUCCAGAGAACGGAAAGUGAAUCCAGUUCUGGAUGCCAACCUCCACGUUGUCCUUCAGGUCACAGAAAAGUCUCCAAGGCAGAUUCCCAUGGAUGAAAGCAUCCCUCCACCAUGGGAUGGUCCAGAGCUUUUCUGCAGGUUCUCACUGGUCCGAUGGAGAGAGAGGUCAACGGGAUCUGCCUUGGGCAGGGGGAAGUCCAUGCAGACAAACCAAUGGGUUUGCUAGUUUUCUGAAUCUACGCCAAGGUGGGAUCUCUCUUCCCUCCAACUGUCCAAGAAAACCAAAGCACUGGGCUGAGGACAAGCCAAAAAGCUGCAGGUCCUCUGAAGUGAUGCUGGAGAAAUGUUCUUCCUCAUCAGAAGCAUCCCAGGACAGCUUUGAAUGGCGAAGCAGAAGAGCAAGCAGGGCAUGGCCACAUCCUUCCCUGAUGCCCUCUCCUCCUCCCGUGGGUGCAAUGUUACUGCUGUCAGCACGUCCUUCACUUCUGAUGCUAUCUGCCACAGCUGGGCAGUGCUGCUGAGCCCCCAGUGCUGCUCCUCCGGUGUUCUGGCCUUUGCCAAGGACCUGAUGACUUUGUUGUUGCUGCCAUCCCAAGGACAGGCUGCCAGAAGAUGCUGCAGGCUGCGUCCCAGCAGUGUGGGGGUGGCCUGUUGCUGAGGCCCUGUUGGAGAACGUCGCUGUUGCCCUGAUUUCUUUCCAUCUGUAUUUUAAAACCAAGCAGCCGCAGAGUCUAUGGAGAGGGCUGGGACCGGGGCUUCAGCAUCUCCUGCUUCCCAGUGGCAAAGCAAAUCCAGGGGGAGAACCCGCGACUGUGCAGCCCGAGUGGUAAGAUGGGAAAAUCCCUGCUCAGCAUCCCCAAAUCCCAGGUUUGGCUUUCCUGAGACAUCCCAGCGCUCUGCUGCAGCCAUCCUGAGUCCCCAGUGGCAGCAGCGGUGCUAUGUGAGCAGGGAAGGCUCGACCCUGAGGGAGGAGGUGUGCCAAGGGACCCUGGCAGUGUGAAGACAUGAGGUUUUUCACCUGGUAUCUGUGAAAUUAGCACCGAGAAGGACCAGGCUCAUCCUGUCCUCCCAUGCCCUGAGGAGCACUUCCCACCCGCCCUCGCAGCAGCUCUGCGAUUUUUCUGAUCACAAGGAAAGCCGGUUUGGCUUGCCAACAAAGAAAUGCUUAGUUUGUACCUCCUGAUUAUCAUUCUUCUGUCACUGUAGUGAAUUAAAACAGUUCACUCUGCUAGCAAAUGAGCAUCGGAGCUGGCAGAGGCUGAAAGGUGGAAGCACGUGGCUGGGCAGAGGGAGGAGAGGGGAUGCAGCCCCCUUCCAGCAGUGUGAGGUGUAAAUUCAGCUGAACCUGUACCGUCAAUCCACAGCCUCACUGCUCUGAGGUCAAGCUCCCUCUCCAACACUUGGAGAGUGCACUUGGCCACCUACUAUCUCCUCCACGUGUCCUUAGUACCAGCUGAGGGGCACUGCCCCAUUCCAGCCUUACAGGGACUGUAAUUCACACCACAAGGUCUUGGGGUCUCUUCUUUUCCCCUUGCAUGAAUUACUGGCCAUGCCCCUUAGCCCUAAAAAAGCCCCUUUGCUCACAGGCUGCAGCAAAGCUUCCUGCCCUCCUGAUUUUCCCCAGGCCACUGCCAACAGAGGGAUCUCUGUGAGAAGCCCAGGUGAGCUGGGAUGGAGAGGCUGAGCUGCACCAUGGGGACACAGGACCCCUCUGCUGUCCGGGUGGGGGUAUCCUGCCUCCUCUCACGAGCUCUUAUGCCUCUGAGCGCUGUCUGCGUGCUCAGUGCUGUGCAGCACACCGCAGUGACGGCUGCUGCAAAGAUCCUGCAGGACAAAGGGAACAACAAAAGGUUCCUGCACCAGCGCUUUCCCCUCUUUUCUCUUUCCUUCCCUUUUGCCGCAACUUGGAAAGAGCGAAGUCGAGGGACUGCCAAAGCAGAGGAAAACAAGGCCAAGCGCACACAGAUGGUGAGCCCACAAAUUUAAUUUAAAAUCAUCCUUUAUUAUUCAAAAUAUUAAAAUUCAGGCAAUAAUGCCCAGAGGAACAGCACUGAUUAAAGUUCCCUAAUGUUUCAUGGCCAAAUCUUGCUGCUUCUUCCAAGGGUCACUGGGACAAGAAGUGAAACCCCUCUGGAGUGCAGAGAGAGGCAGGGCUGUACCUGCUGUAGAUCGUUUACCCAAACAGUUACUUACUGACCCAAUCAGCUUCACUUAAAGCAAAGCACCAGCUGUUCCUUACCCAAUUAAUGAUUGCCACAGCAAAUUAACAUGGCGUUACACCAGGCGUGGAUGUGGUCCGCAGAGUCCGGAAUGCACAGAGCAAUAUGCUAUUGCAAAAAUAAUCACAGUAAUAUCUUUACCGUUAGGUAGCAUCCUUCAUCUGGAAGGAUCGCGAGCUCCCUGGGCGCUAUAUGGCUCGCUUCGUGCAACGUGCUCUGCAGCGAGGGUGCGGAGGGCAGGAAGGAGGGUACGUGGUUGCUGUCUCAAGGAGGAAUAAAAGGAACAGCCAGGGCAGCUGUGCUGUGGUAGAGGCAGCAUUGACCACACACGUCCAGCUCUUGGGUCCUGCAAUCCCCAUAAAUUGUUAGUUCAGUGGUUGUAAAUCUGCUGGACUCAAAAUGUACCUUGAUCAAGCACCACAGACUUCUUUGAUGCCUCUCCCCUGUUGUGUGAUGUGACAUUUUGAUAGCAUGGGGCUGUUGCAGGGAUUUUGGGGCCUUGGUCAGGGUCACAGAUCAGUGUCAGAGCUGAUCUGCUUUGAGAUGUGGCAAGCACAGAGCCAGAUGCCCAGCUGCAGUGAGCAGCCCUGGGUGGGAAGAGGCCACAACGCUGGGCUGCAGAUGUGGCAAAACCAAGCAAGGUUCUUGUGGACAGACGUUGCCUCUCUGCUGAGCAUCACCAGGUCAAGUGCUGCCUCUACAAUUCCUGCCUUGGUCCCUCUGUGCUGUGGAGCACACAAACAGACUGCCCCUCGCCCUGUCCCUCUGUGGUGGUCCUGCAUUGCGGGGACCCAACAGCAGCACAGCAGAAUAACUGAGCCAGUCUCUUCUCCCACCAAAAUCCAGUUUACACAAAGGUUAAGUCCAGUUCCUAAAUACUCAUCACAAUUUUGGCUCUGCUACGAGCUUGUGCCUUUUAUGACCCAGAUACGUUAACCCCCUUUAAGUUACCAUCCAGAUAGAUCAAUCAGCCUAGAGGGCUUUGGGACAGCGGUGGCUAGUGUUGAACCAUUAAACUUUCCAAUUUUCCUACAAUUAAGCCGCCAUCAAAUAUUAUUGACAAAUAAAGCGUGCCAUCAAAGCCUCGAGCUGCCACGCUGCUGCAGAGGGGAUCUCACAUCCCAGCCCACUGCAGGGGACGAGGCAGGAGAAUUGUGCCCUCAGCACCGGCGGCCCCCAGUUGCCUGCAAUACUGUUACAGAAGCUGUCCCUGUGUAAUUAUAAGACUCCCUCAUUAUAAUUACUGUUAUUUAUAUAAUUGUGGCAAGUGUUUUCAGCUCUGUCAGCAGUCUGGAAAAUGCCCAGGCCGAUUACAGCCAAACAUUUCAGGCGUUUCACUGCCGAGCGCCCUGGGCUUGAAGUACGAUGACCAACAGCGUGGCUGGGACAGGCCAAGAAUAGCAGCCCAUGUCCUGGUGACCUGAAAGCUUUCUUUGGAAGAUUUCUAUGCCUUGGGACUUCAGAGGGAGGACAUGAGGUUAUUCAGCCUCUGUCUCUCAAGCCACACUUCUGGGAACACGGCUCAUCCGGCAGCGCGGCCCAGCCCCGGGUGAGCUCAUGUUCCCCUGUCACCUCCGUGGGGGAAUUUGCUGCAGGACACGCUCCUGGCAGUGGGUCAGGAGGCACCACCCAGGUCAGGCGUCCCCGCAAGGAAUGCAGUAAUGGGCAUAUUCUCCGCACCGUGUUCUCUCUGAUUAUCUCGCCUUAAAAUCUGGAGGAGAUGGGGGGGUGUUUAGAGAAAAUGAGGGGCAGGGCUGGCGCAGAGGUGCUGGCACCGUACCUGCAGCUUGAAGCUUCGCUUUGUUGGUUAAACACAGGGACAGAGAGAAUGGGCUUAAGUUGCGUGUUGGCAAGGAAGGGCUGCUGCUUGUUCCUGGCUCCUUUGCAUCUAAAUUGGAAGAAAUUCAGGAUAACC